UACGUAGAUUGCGAGCGUUAUUCGGAUUUACUGGGCGUAAAGAGCACCGAGGUGGCUUCUUAAGUUGGAUGUGAAAUCUCCUGGCUUAACCGGGAGGCGCCAUUCAAUACUGAGAAGCUUGAGGUCAGCAGGGGAAGGUGGAAUUCCCGGUGUAGUGGUGGAAUGCGUAGAGAUCGGGAGGAACACCAGUGGCGAAGGCGGUUGCCUGGAGCUUUGCUGACGCUGAUGCGCGAAAGCGUGGGGAGCGAUCCGG
rnacentral:rRNA from 1 species